rnacentral:lncRNA from 1 species
CAAAGUUGCUGCGCUCGAGGAGCCGCCUGGCUGCGGGCGGUGCUUGGGAGAGGGCCCGUCGGUCCAGCCCGGGUGCCCGGCCUCAGCUCUCCGCCGCGCCCCCACCCACACGCCCGGGGCCGCCAAGCCGCCGCGCUCAGGUGAGCACAUGCCACUCACGCUUGUUCGGGACACCUGAGGACACGCACAACCGGCAUCCCGGUGCCCUUUGCUGAUCGCACCACCGCGGCCGCCAAGCCUGGCUGCAGGCUUGAUGCUGAGAGCAGUAGGUGUAGCCCUCGACAGAGGGGUCCCUGCUUCCCGUGGGCUUCCAGGCCGUGCUCAGUGCCUCAUCCCUGCCCUCCCAAGAUCCUGGGAGGUUGUGGACUCCCUGUCACACUUCCUAGCCCUGUUGCUCAUUCUCUCUUAGGUGCCCAGGCUCUGCCAGGGUUUCAGGGCAAUGCCUCCUCCAAAGCCCUCUCUGCCACCAGACACAGCCCCCUGGUGAGCCAGGGAAAUCUCAGGGGAGGCUGGGAGCCAGACCCACCUAAAGGGAGAGUCUCUGGGUGGAGGACCAAUUUGCCCUGAGCCACUCCUGUGCCUCCACCUAUCCCUCCUCCUAAGGACAGAUGACAGGCAAGCCCCAGACCUGGGAGGCAGGACUUGAAUGAGGAGGGUGUGUGUGCCUGACCUUGGGUACAUGACCUUGUGUGCCUGUGUUUGUAAGCACUUGUGUCCAUGGGACUCUGUGGCUUGUCCAGGCCAUUUGGUUGUGUCACUCCCUAUGCCAUGACCCUGUGUGUGCAAGUGAGUACAUUUGUGUGCAUUGUGUGUGUUUCUGGUAACUCUCUGUCCUUCGGUCUGGGUCAUCCUGCCUCUAGAAACUCAGGGAAACAUUCCUUUUCCAAAGUCACUGAUUCCUGUUGCGGUGAAUGUAUGGCCCAGGCUUGGAGGCAGACACAGCACCCCUGGCCUGACUUCCUGAUUUGAGCUGUAGAGAUUGGAUUGGCCAGACCCCCCAGCUUUAGCCACCACACCAAGAGUCUGGCUGUGGUUUCUCCAGCCUCAGUCCAUUGGAGUCUUCCCCUUGGAGUGAGGAAGGGAGUAGAAGCUGAGAUGAGGGUCCUGGGGAGCCUUCAAGGUCAAGGCAACACAGAUAGAACCAGCACUUGCUAAAGCAGGAGUUGAAGAGUAGGGGGAUGGGGCAGGAAGGCAAGAUAAGGAAAGAGGCAGAAGCAGGGUCCUACACUGUCCUGGGAAGGAACCGUGAAGGCCACCAUGGGGACAGACUUGCCAGGAGGCGAUGUUGGGAUUUGCGUUUGGCUGAAGAGUAUAACAUGGUUAGGAUGAGGAAGGGGGUGUUUCCAGCUCAGCUUCUGGAACCUCGUGCCACCUCAGGCAGAGCCAUUAGUCUUAUGGGAUUUGGGUCUUGGUGGGACUGGACCAUCUGCCACAUUUUUAUAUAAACUCCCCCUGCCCAUUCAUCCCACUUCCUAGUCCAAGCCUCCUCCUUCCCAGGACCUAUGCUCCAGCUCCUGUGGCCUCCUCAACCACUGACCCCUUAUCCCUUAUUAGGUGGAGACGUUCUAGAAGUACAAGGUGGUUAGGGCAGUCAUUGCUGGCAGAAGCUGGCCCAGCCCUGUCUGAGGCCUGUUGCCAAGUCGUGCCUGCCUAGGGGCAGAAAACCAGCCUCUGCUAGAAGCAGGAGUCUAGGCUGUCAGGGGCCUCCAGGGAAGAGAAGCGGAGAGGGGCAGUGGGCAGGAGCCUCAACAGAUAAAGCAGGGCCUGGCAGGGCAGAGGAAUGAAGGGUGACCAGGAGCAGAGCACCUGAGCCACUCGGCCCCUAAGCCCUCAGCCCACAGCCUCCCUUAGUCCUUUGUCCCAGCCUCCAACCCGCCUUGGUCAGAAACCUGGUUAACCAAACCCUUAGCACGCCCCAGGCUCUGGAGGACAAAGGGGUGGGCAGGCGGGCUCUGGUCUCCUCCAGCGGAGUCCAGCAGCUCACUGGUACCCUCUGCUGGCCGUGUAGGGAGAGCACGGCUCUGAAGGAGCUAAAGACCAGGUAACCCACCGGCUGCUGGGUUGAGGAGAGGGGAACAGAUGUCUACAGUAGGGGGUACCAAGUGGCAGACUCCAGGAGCCCUCUCGCUCUGUCCUCUGACUGUACUUGGGUUCCUGGAGCAGAGCACUCAGCACUGACUUGUCACCUCCUCUUCCCUCUGCAGCUAAGAGGCUGCAGAUUCCCAAGGAGCCCCUGCCCUGCACUCUGCUUCACGCCUUCACCCCCACCAUGCCUCCUCUUGGCAGAAUGGCAGAGGGUCCCUCUUCCUGCCAGUGGCCAGGGUCCUAGACCCCAUUGCUCCCUGUCCUCAAAGACAACAAACUUGUAUUGAGUUCCUACUGCAUGCCAGGCCCUGUGCUGGGCACCACAGAUAUAGCAACUGACUACUGGCCCCAGCAGCAAGUGUACUGGCGCUAGCCUCACCCAUUGGGAACCUCAAGCCCGUAUCCCUUUCCACAAGCAUCUCUCUUGUGGCUGGGCGUGGUGGCUCACGCCUGUAAUCCCAGCACUUUGGAAGGCCAAGGCAGGCGGAUCACCUAAGGUCAGGAGUUCGAGACCAGCCUGGCCAACAUGGCGAAACCCUGCCUCUACUAAAAAUCCAAAAAUUAGCCAGGUAUGGUGAUGCAUGCCUGUAGUCCCAGCUACUCAUGAGACUGAGGCAGGAGAAUCUCUUGAAUGUGGGAGGCGGAGAUUGCAGUGAGCCGAGAUUGUACUACUCACCGCACCCCAGCCUGCGUGACAGAGCAAGACUCUGUUUCAAAAAAAAAAAAAAAAAAAAAAAAAAAGCAUCUCUCUUGUGUUUUCUCCUACUGUUUUCAGCUGCAUUUCUCUAAAGUUGUCCAUAAUCACCAUCACCACUCUCCCCUCCCAGCCUUUGCCUGGGACCAGCUCCCAAUCGUAACCCCCUAGUCCCCAAAUCCCAUAGACUCAUCUCUGGCUUCAGCUAAUUUGGCCUCUUCAAAGCCUCGGCCCUGCUGACCUCUCUUUCCUGCCCCAAGCCCUGUCUCCCUUGGGUGCCUGCGAAGCCACGGCUGCCGGGUUUCCUCCGACCUCACUGCCUCUCCUUCUCAGCCUCCUUCUCCAGCUUCUCUUCCUUGUGGGUGAAGCUCUGGCUGUAGAGGCCUCACCCUCGGCCCUCCCCACACCAUGAGCUCAUCUUUCUACUCACAUGCUGGCGACCUCCCUGCUUGCUUUCUGGCCAAGCUCUCCCUUUUGACCACAGGCCCACAUGUCCAGCUGCCCCUGGACACUUCCCUUGGACACACAUAGGCCCCUCAGCCUCAGCAUGUCUAAAGCUGGUCCUGGCAGCCAUCGUGCCCCACCACAUCCUCAAUCUUCAUGCCAUGCACUGGCCUCCAAAUCUCUUGCUGUGUCCCAAGCCCUGGGUUGGGUGCAGAUACCUCAUCAUAGCCUUUGUAGUAGUUGUCAUUAUCACCAUUUUACAUUCAAGGGAACUGAGGCUUCCAGAGGUGAAGGGAAUUGCUCAAGCUCUCAAGUUCCACUUGCGUUGGAGUCUUGGACCAGCCCCAAGAUUCAAACUCAGGUGUACCUGAACCCAAAGUCUGGGCUCUUGAGAACUGUGUUAAUACGGGGCUGUGUUGGUCACCUGUGGCAUCUUAGACUUCAUCCUGAGGGCAAAGGAGAGCUUGGAAUGGUUUUGAGCAAAUGAGACCCCCAUCCCAGGUGGACAGGAAAUGGAUCUGGGGAAGAGUGGAGGCUGACUAAAUUAUUAUUAUCACUCUUAAAUUUUAUUAUGAUUAUUACUUUAUUAUUAUUAUUAUUACUUUUAGUUAGAGAUGGAGUCUUGCUCUGUCACCCAGGCUGGAGUACAGUGGCACAAUCACGGCUCACUGCAGCCUUGAACUCCUGGGCUCAGGCGAUCCUGCCAUCUCAGGCCUCCGUAGUAGCUGGGACUACAGGCACUCACCACCACACCUGGCUAUUGUUUUUUAAAUUUUUUGUAGAGACAGGGGUCUCACUAUGUUGCCCAGGCUGGUCUUGAACUGCUGGCUUCAAGUGAUUCUUGAGGCUGGGAGUCUUGUUCCUGCAUCCAGAUGAGGGACGGAGCAGAGGUCUGUUCAAACAAACUGAGCUUGAGGCACCCCUGAACAUGCAAAGGCUGAGCCCCAAGGCAGGUGGAAGCCUGUGGGCUCCAGCAUGUUGCUCCUGUAGCGUGGGAGCCCUGGAGGUUGCCGACUCCCCUCUGAUUACCCUAGGCAUGAACUGAACUCGCCCCUGCCUCCACCAUUUUUCAGAGCUAUCCCAUCUGGGCUGGGCACCUGGAAACCAGGCCCUUCAGUUACGGAACUGAAGGAAACCUCCCCUCCAGUUACCAGAGAGGGAGGCAGUAAGACACAGAAAGCCAGGAGCAUCACUUGUGUUUUCAGCCUGUGUCUGGCACCCUCCUCCGAACUUUUACUGUCUCCAGGAUUAAAGGCAGAUGUUUGGGGAUUAGGGUCCUUGAGUUUGGGAAACAGAGAGAGUAUGUUCUGCAGGGCUUUCUGGACCAGUCCCAGGCGGAAAGCAAGCCUCAGCUGAGAGCAUUUGGAGGGAGAGCUUGACUGACUCUGGAUGAAAUCCUUCUAGGAUCCGUCUUGUAUCCUCCAGUGUGGUUGUGUGUUUGUGGCAUGCCAGUCCUUGUGCUUAGCUUGCUUGGUCUUUAUUUUAUUUACUAUCCUCACGUCAUCACUAUGAAGUAGGUACUAUCAUUAUCCUUAUCCUAUACAUAAGGAUAAGGCUACCGACCUUUUGCUAUUUGCUGCUCGAUUAAAAACAAGUCUCCCAACGACGGAAUUGAGGCAACUUGAUUGUUAAAACUCAUUCCAAACUUGUCUCCUUACAGCUUCCAUCACCCUGAUUCAGGCCUUUUCUUGGCACAACAACUGCAAAAGAUACAAAAAUUAGUUGCUGUUGGCUGGCUGUUUUAAUUUAUUUGCAUAUACAUAAUUCAGCCCCACCCCUGGUGGCUAAUACGCCCCCUGGGGAAGCUGUGGCUGUCUUCUGAUUGCUGGUGGGGAGGACUGUGUGUGUUGUUUUUUUAAAUAAACUGAAACCAGAUGGAGGGGGGUUUUGUUCACAGCCUUGCGUACAAUUUUCUCCAGCGAAUUCCUUGAAAAGUCAACCACCUAUGAGUGGUGCCUCUGCUCCGUGGAGGUCCCUCACCGCUGGUAUGCAAAUAUCGAGCAGGGUUGAUAUUUCUCAAGAAGAAAAAGAGCUUCUUGGCCUGAGGGCUUUCCAGAAUGCGGGGUCAUCUCCUGGUUGCCCCCAGUUUUAGGUCUGUACUUACAGUUAAUGUCCUCGCUCUCCUUCCGCCUUGUGUUGGGAGUGGGCUGGGGCGGGGGAGUCUUGGGCCAGGCUUGAGUCAAAUCACCUAGACCAACCACUUGGUAUAAAAAUGUGAAUUCCAGACCCCCACCUAUACCCCAUUUGCAGCACUGACCUCCGGCACGAGACCCCAACUGUCCAGCUGGGUUGAUUUUUGCAGUCAGCGGAGGGGUUAUUCUCCUAAAGGGGCCCAAGCCACUCCUGCUUCCAUCCUGGGAAGGCCAGAAGCUGGAGGUGGUUAUCGAAAUAUUUUUAACCGCCAGCCAGGUCCAAGGCUUUGUAAUGCCCCGGGAGCCCUCAUUAAGCGAUUCCUUGUUCAGAGAAAUGAGGCGAGUGUACCCACUGGUCACCCUGCCAGAGGUUUAGUAUUUUUUCUUUGGAACGUGAAUUGGGCAUUGUCGUAGUGAAGUGUGACCCAGUCCCCAGGCAAGGGAGAGCACUUCUUUCCCAGCUCUGACCUUCAUUCCUAGCUCAGAACACCUUUCUUUUGGAUUCCAAGCUUUUUCAGAUAAUUGUGUCAGGUUACAUAAGGCUCUGAGAUAUGAACACUCAAAGGAAAUUCCGGUGAGAGCAGGUCUGAGAGGUUCCUGCACAUAAUUUGCUUUAAAGUAUUCGAGGAAAACUUCAGGUGUCUGAGGCCAGCACAUUUUUGAAAUAAAAUAAGAGCAGCCAACAACUUUGCAUGGAUGUGCCAUUCCCCAUAGAAAUGAGCGAGCAAAAAGACAGAUUUCACACUGAAAGGAAAUACCCCUCCCCAGGGAGCCUGUGCAGGGGCGGGAGGGGGCUGGUGGGGGAGAGGCGGGAGUCAGUUGCAAGAGAACAGCUUGGACCAGGCUGCCAUUGAAAUGGAAAUCUUCACCAACCAGGAUCACUUUUUUCCCCCUUUCUGCAUCUUAGGUGACACGUGGUAAACACAAGACUUCAGUUUUCCAAGAAACAUAAAAUAAAAACUGAAUUACUGGC